CAUCUUAUUUAUCUGCUCAAAUCAAGGACAAAUACACUCAUUUUAAGAACAUUUUACUUAUUUUUAGUUCCGUUUUCGCAGUGUGCUUCUGAUUUAACGUCUUGGUAGGUUUAGUUCAGACAAUCUCUUUCUCAAACGAUGCUCAGACCCUAACCUGACCCAUCUGCUGGGUUCCCUGGUGUUUAUGAAGCU